rnacentral:rRNA from 1 species
UUUUGAAAGGGGUUGUAGCUGGCCGUCUCUCUGGGGCGGCAUGUGCACGCCCUGAUCACUAUCCAUCUCACACACCUGUGCACACACUGUAGGUUGGCUUGUGAUUGGAGCCACGGUCUUCAUUGACUUUGCUCUGGUUGGAGGCCCUCCUAUGUAUUAUCACAAACUACUUCAGUUUAAAGAAUGUACUCUUGCGUCUAACGCAUUUGAAUACAACUUUCAGCAACGGAUCUCUUGGCUCUCGCAUCGAUGAAGAACGCAGCGAAAUGCGAUAAGUAAUGUGAAUUGCAGAAUUCAGUGAAUCAUCGAAUCUUUGAACGCACCUUGCGCUCCUUGGUAUUCCGAGGAGCAUGCCUGUUUGAGUGUCAUGGAAUUCUCAACUCUAUUUGCUUUUGUGAAUAGAGCUUGGAUUUGGAGGUUUUAUUGCUGGUACUUGUGAUCGGCUCCUCUUGAAUGCAUUAGCUCGAACCUUUGCGGAUCAGCUAUCGGUGUGAUAAUUGUCUACGCCGUUGCAGUGAAGCAUAUCAAUGGGCUCGGCUUCCAAUCGUCCUUUACUGGACAAUGACUUUGACCUUUGACCUCAAAUCAGGUAGGAUUACCCGCUGAACUUAAGCAUAUCAA